UUACAGGCUUAACACAUGCAAGUCGAGGGGCAGCAUGGUCUUAUCUUGCUAAGGCCGAUGGCGACCGGCGCACGGGUGAGUAACACGUAUCCAACCUGCCGUCUACUCUUGGACAGCCUUCUGAAAGGAAGAUUAAUACAAGAUGGCAUCAUGAGUCCGCAUGUUCACAUGAUUAAAGGUAUUCCGGUAGACGAUGGGGAUGCGUUCCAUUAGAUAGUAGGCGGGGUAACGGCCCACCUAGUCUUCGAUGGAUAGGGGUUCUGAGAGGAAGGUCCCCCACAUUGGAACUGAGACACGGUCCAAACUCCUACGGGAGGCAGCAGUGAGGAAUAUUGGUCAAUGGGCGAGAGCCUGAACCAGCCAAGUAGCGUGAAGGAUGACUGCCCUAUGGGUUGUAAACUUCUUUUAUAAAGGAAUAAAGUCGGGUAUGGAUACCCGUUUGCAUGUACUUUAUGAAUAAGGAUCGGCUAACUCCGUGCCAGCAGCCGCGGUAAUACGGAGGAUCCGAGCGUUAUCCGGAUUUAUUGGGUUUAAAGGGAGCGUAGAUGGAUGUUUAAGUCAGUUGUGAAAGUUUGCGGCUCAACCGUAAAAUUGCAGUUGAUACUGGAUAUCUUGAGUGCAGUUGAGGCAGGCGGAAUUCGUGGUGUAGCGGUGAAAUGCUUAGAUAUCACGAAGAACUCCGAUUGCGAAGGCAGCCUGCUAAGCUGCAACUGACAUUGAGGCUCGAAAGUGUGGGUAUCAAACAGGAUUAGAUACCCUGGUAGUCCACACGGUAAACGAUGAAUACUCGCUGUUUGCGAUAUACUGCAAGCGGCCAAGCGAAAGCGUUAAGUAUUCCACCUGGGGAGUACGCCGGCAACGGUGAAACUCAAAGGAAUUGACGGGGGCCCGCACAAGCGGAGGAACAUGUGGUUUAAUUCGAUGAUACGCGAGGAACCUUACCCGGGCUUAAAUUGCAGAUGAAUUACGGUGAAAGCCGUAAGCCGCAAGGCAUCUGUGAAGGUGCUGCAUGGUUGUCGUCAGCUCGUGCCGUGAGGUGUCGGCUUAAGUGCCAUAACGAGCGCAACCCUUGUUGUCAGUUACUAACAGGUUCCGCUGAGGACUCUGACAAGACUGCCAUCGUAAGAUGUGAGGAAGGUGGGGAUGACGUCAAAUCAGCACGGCCCUUACGUCCGGGGCUACACACGUGUUACAAUGGGGGGUACAGAGGGCCGCUACCACGCGAGUGGAUGCCAAUCCCCAAAACCUCUCUCAGUUCGGACUGGAGUCUGCAACCCGACUCCACGAAGCUGGAUUCGCUAGUAAUCGCGCAUCAGCCACGGCGCGGUGAAUACGUUCCCGGGCCUUGUACACACCGCCCGUCAAGCCAUGGGAGCCGGGGGUACCUGAAGUGCGUAACCGCGAGGAGCGCCCUAGGGUAAAACUGGUGACUGG
rnacentral:rRNA from 1 species